AAUCAAUUUUGAAAUGUCAUUUUACUAAUAGCUUAUAUUUAUACAUUGAGUUUAUUUAACCCACUUUAAAUAACAUUAGCUAAUGUUUCUACUUGGAAUGAAAGAUUGUGAAGAGUCAUCUUAUUUUGAAGAGUUGUUAACUGUGGUAAAAAUAUAGAUUUUAAUACCCAUCUUAUUUUAGUUCUAAUACUUGGUAAUUGCCAGGUAUCAUCUUUUCGAUUUACCCAAUUCUACCAUCGAGGCCACAAGGGAGAUUUCUUCCAGAGAGAGGAUAGAGUUAUUAAGUCUAAAGUCCAUUAUUUGUUUUUGUCCUUCAUAAAAAGAUGGUCCUGACUCUGGGUGGAUCUAACAAGGAUCCUGGAACUCCAGUUCUGCUUUUUGGAUUUACCAGGAACUUCCCAGUCCAGACGAUUGGAAUUACAGCAUUAUUUACUUUGACUGGUAUAAUCUUCUGCUUUCGGUAAC